rnacentral:rRNA from 1 species
CCUACGGGUGGCAGCAGUGAGGAAUAUUGGUCAAUGGACGAGAGUCUGAACCAGCCAAGUAGCGUGAAGGAUGACUGCCCUAUGGGUUGUAAACUUCUUUUAUAUGGGAAUAAAAUGUUCCACGUGUGGGAUUUUGUAUGUACCAUAUGAAUAAGGAUCGGCUAACUCCGUGCCAGCAGCCGCGGUAAUACGGAGGAUCCGAGCGUUAUCCGGAUGUAUUGGGUGUAAAGGGAGCGUAGGGGGAUUGUUAAGUCAGUUGUGAAAGUUUGCGGCUCAACCGUAGAAUUGCAGUUGAAACUGGAAGUCUUGAGUACAGUAGGGGUAGGCGGAAGUCCUAGUGUAGCGGUGAAAUGCGUAGAUAUUAGGAAGAACACCGGUUGCGAAGGCGGCUCGCUGGACUGUAACUGACGUUGAGGCUCGAAGGUGUGGGGAGCAAACAGGAUUAGAGACCCCAGUAGUC